GUUCUUGAAACAGGGGAGACGAAAGCCAUGGAUGCGAUGUGGCUUGAAUUGAAGAGCUGAGUGCUGGGUUUGUUCCAAUACUGAGGAAAAUGAAUGUUGCCACGGUUGGUUGGAGGACUUAAACAUUUGGAAGUUGAUACCAAACGGAUACUAGGUUUGAGAAGCAAUUGGAUUGCUUUGGGACUUUCGAGACGGCACAGGGACA
rnacentral:lncRNA from 1 species